AUAGAACACCGUCCUGUGCCCAGCAUUGCACAAGGCCACCACAUUUACCUUUUGAAUAGGUUCCCUUUUCAUCUCUUCUGUGGAAGUUUUGGUAGAAAACAUAACAGAUUGUCUAAAGGCAAAGAAGUGGUUCCGGAAGCCAAAUCUCUGCUGUGGCUGUAGCUCCAUCACCAACUGUGAACACAGGAUGGCUGCCCUGUUGACUUUUCUUCCUUGUCACCCCUUUCUGUGUCCGUGAUCUGCCCUUGACUUUGAAGAUCACUUAAAGAAACUUGGACUUCAGGUGCUCUCUGCAGCCUUGGCUUCUGCUCAGCCAGACUUCUUCAGUAUCUGGUUCCUCUAAGUACAGGAACCUCGACCCUUUUAGUUUCAAUUUUUCAAGACCCAAACUUCGCAUGAACAGCCAAGCAGGGCCCUGCUGCUCUUAUCUGAGAAAUAGCAUACCAGGAGUCGGCUGGAUGAAUGCGGGGGCCAGGCUUUCCUCAUCACCACUAUGACAAGCAGCUGGGCAUUUGCCUAUCAGCCCAUCUGCCGGCGCCAA